GUCGUUUCCCGCCUGGCUAGAGGGUCUGGCGCCCCCAGAUGCUCUGCUCUCUCUGACCUCAGGGCCUUUGCACAGGCCGUCGCCUCUGCUGGAGCUCCCCAGCUGGCUCCAUCUGUCUCUUGGCUUAGCGCUGGACGUCUCUGAGCCCGUCUAUUCCUUUCGCCUCCCGCCACGUAGCGGGGGCCUCUCUUCUGCGUUCUCACCACACCUUCAGUUAGCCCCUAGCAUACUCUCUAUUUAAAUGCUUCUUUCCUUCUUUGCUCUCCCCUCCUAGAGUAAGACACACAGCUCCUAUUUAUCGAGCCCUUACUGCGUGCCAGACAGGGCCGCCGUGAAGAGCUGCGGAGGACGAGACUGAUGAAGCAGGAUGUGAAGAGCGCCCCCCGGAGCUGUGCAAGGUGACAGCGAUUAUGCAAAGUGCUCACUGACUCCUCCCCAGGACCUGUGGGGUAGGUCAUCCCCCCAUUUUGCGGAUGAGGAAGCAGUUGUGGGGCAGAAGGCACACGCUCUCAGCUCCCCGAGCCUUAAAUUGUUUAAGCAUUUAUUGAGCAUUUUAUCAAAGCCUUGCCACGACCUUGUAAGAUUGGUGCUAUAAUCAUCCCCAUUUUACAGAUGGGGAAACUGAGACUCAGAGGGGAGAAGACUCCAGCCCAUGGUCACAGACCUGGUAACCAGCUGAGCUGGAAUUCGAACCCAGGUUGGCCUCGCUCCUGAGUCUAAGGUCUUAACCUCAUGCAGGAAUGAAUGAGGAAGGAAGAAGUCAGGAGGAACCCUCUGUUCCUUGGGAGUAACCCUGGGGAUGCUUCAUGACCCGGCCUGUGGCAGUUCGCAGGCUCCAAAGAGGAGGGCCGGGCCACAGUGUGAAACGCUCUCCGAGGAAUCCUGCUGGGGUGACAGGGCUCGGAAGAAAAAGGCAGAUGGCUCCCCACUGCCCUCGGGAUGACAUCCAACCUGCCUGCCUGCUGGAUUAACAAAGGCCAUCCUCCUCCCAUUUCCGGGCACUGCUCUGGCCCGCGCCCUUG
rnacentral:lncRNA from 1 species